GUGCUAUGGGAGUACAGAUGAGAGAGAAGCUCAGAAGGCUGCUGGAGAUGUGCUUUAAAUUCGCAAAUGAAGUAUAUUUGUGCCAAAGGAUGAGUAGGACUUUGGUGGACUCAUGUUGAAAAGUGCCUUCUAGGUAGGAAGAACAACCUGCACCUGCAUAGAGUUUGAAGUUGCAUGAAGUGUUUGCAUGGAUAGUUGGAGAAAAGUUCAUUGUGGGGUAGAGAAGAGGCAGGAGAUAAGGCUGAAAGAAUGUGAAAGGUCUGAUUAUGAAAAGUCUUGUCUCCUUCAACUGUGGAACUGAGGACAGGACAGAGAGGGGCUUGAUGCAUCAGACAAUGCUAGUGUAAUGCCUUGUCCCAACACUUCUUUUCUGCAUUUUUCUUCUUUUCUUUUCUCUAGUGCAAGGAGAAAAGAGAGAGAAGAGACUCAGGAGAGAGGCUGUGUAUUUUCGGGUACAUUCAUUACUGAUCAUCACAUGCCAGACACUAUGCUAGGCCUCUCUGAACCAUAUCCCAUUUCAUCCUCAUGGUAAGCCUGUGAGGAAGGACUAUUAAGCUGUUUGCUGAGGAAGACACAGAAGUUUAGAGGACGUCUAGAAAAUUUUAAGAUUUGGAAUCAUGACUACCUGAUUAUAUACUACUAUAAUAUACUACUUCUCUUUUGGAAGAAGCAAAUAUGCCAAGGUCACCUUUCCUGGGAUGGGGUGUCAGCUAAGUGGAGAGCACAGAAAGCAGAGCCCCACUUGCUGAGUUCUGCUCAUCUGGAGCAACAAAAAUCAGAAGAAAGCAGAAGGAGCAGCCAUCACAUUGAAAGUCAUUUGUUUUAUUAUUUACUUUGGGAAGUCUCCAGAAAAUAUUUUGGAAUAGAGUAUUUGUUUUUUCAUCAGAUUCAUCUGUAGCAACUGCUAAAAGCAUCCAACAGAUGACAAGAGAAUAAAAAAUAUCACUUAAACCAGAACAGUGGCAAUGCCAGUGCUACAGAAUCCCAUGAAGCUACAAAGAAAGAUAGCAGCCCAGUGGAGAGGGUCCAACCACCCAAGAGAGAAGGAACAAGUUGAGCUAUCAGAACAUAUGCCACAGAAGUACAGAAAUGGAAACACUGGAGAGGAGAUUCCAGUUCAAGAUGGUGAUGUAGGAGGAUCCCAGGCUCCCAUCCUUCCAUGGACAAACCCAAUCUGCAGCUACAUAUGGAACAAAUUAUUCUGAAAGAAAAAAACUUAAAAACUAUCUGAGCA
rnacentral:lncRNA from 1 species